ensembl:lncRNA
AGUGAGAGGUGGAGACGGGGAAGGAGAAGAGAAACGUAAAAACAGGAGAGAGUAGCCUACCAAAGAGACGGAGCAUUUUUAUUUGUGUUCUCUCGUUGACCCCGAGUUUUCAGAGGCUGGCCAGAAAAGGCUGCGCGGAGCAGGGCACUAAACCCCUCCCUGAUACACACUGAGGUAUAUGUGUGUCUUUGGUUCCAACCGAGAUUUUACGCUCAACUACCAGCGGAGGCGAACUGCUGGAGCCAUCAAGAACGGGUGCGUUACCACAAUAUAUUGCUGUUGGUUAUAAAAGCUGCCUUUAUUGCAUUGCGUGUGUAGUUAUCUUGAGACUCCCCCCUCGUAUGUGAUAUUGUCAUUUUAACACGAUUAUUCUAUUUGUUGUUGUGCACACUUGUAUCUUGAGUCUAUUUUAUUGUGUACUUCGGCCUUUAAUUACUUUGAAUAAGUAAUGCUUUUUCUCCUCGCGGUAUCUCCCUAUUCUCGACUUGUUUCUAUCUAUAUUUCGUCGGCCUACAGAGUGGCAGACACGCACGACGCACCCAUAGAACCGGGGGAUGCGGCACGAGGCGUGGGUCCGGCGAUCCGUCCGUCGGUCAGAGACCCGAGCGGAACGGAAACCCUCGCGGCGCGGCUCGUAUAUCUACUUUAAUGCAGCGAGACUAGUGGGUGAGCUGCGGGGUGGACGGCUCCGUGGGCCGGUCCUAACCCCACCCAGAGCUCAUUGGAACGUAUUGUGUGGUCUCAUUAAGGGGGCUUCCUGGCAAGGCUACGGGCUUGUAUCGGAGCUGUCCAAUCAGUGUUCUUACACGGGUUGUUAGCGCCAGUUAAUGAGGAGCUCCUCCCUGGGCCCGGGGAGAAUGGCGCCUCAGCAUCAGAUUUACCUUGUGUCAACUCGUUACUUCUAAUGAACGUCCACCCAAGAAAAGACCUCUCAGCGCUCAAUGGACCCGCGCGGCCGGAACUUGUGUUUGUGUGUUCAAUCCUGGAAAAGUGGAGUUGCAAAAGUGCCCCCCCCCC